GCGUCGCGCGCGGUGGGGGCGGGGCAUGGCGCGCUGUGCGGCGCAGGGCGGCUGGCACAAACGGCGGCGCCGGGGCCGGAGGAAAAAGCUCGCCACCCUGAAGGGUCCCUUCCCAAGCCCUUAGGGACGGCGGAGGACUUGGGGACCUGCAAGCAAUCCCCGGGGCACGAGAAGAGCUCUCGCUGUUUGCCCUGCCUCACCCUGCCUCACGCCAGGCCCGGUGGCCCCCAGCUGCAUCAAGUGGAGGCGGAGGAGGGUGGCACCAUGGGCCCGGGCGGUGCCCUCCAUGCCCGGGGGAUGAAGACACUGCUGCCAUGGACAGCCCGUGCCAGCCGCAGCCCCUAAGUCAGGCUCUCCCUCAGUUACCGGGGUCUUCGUCAGAGUCCUUGGAGCCUGGCCGGGCCAGGAUGGGGGUGGAGAGUUACCUGCCCUGUCCUUUGCUCCCCUCCUACCACUGUCCAGGAGUGCCCAGUGAGGCCUCGGCAGGGAGUGGGACCCCCAGAGCCACAGCCACCUCUACCACUGCCAGCCCCCUUCGGGAGGGCUUUGGUGGGCAGGAUGGUGGUGAGCUGCGGCCGCUGCAGAGUGAAGGUGCCGCAGCGCUGGUCACCAAGGGGUGCCAGCGACUGGCAGCCCAGGGUGCUCGGCCUGAGGCCCCCAAACGGAAAUGGGCCGAGGAUGGUGGGGAUGCCCCUUCACCCAGCAAGCGACCCUGGGCCAGGCAAGAGAACCAGGAGGCAGAGCAGCGGGAGGGUGGUUUGAGCUGCGGCUGCAGCAGUGGCAGUGGUGAGGCCCGCGCUGGGCUGGUGGAGGAGGUGCUGCCCUCUGCGCCUGAGCGCCUGGCCCUGGACUAUAUCGUGCCCUGCAUGCGGUACUAUGGCAUCUGCGUCAAGGACAGCUUCCUGGGGGCAGCACUGGGUGGCCGCGUGCUGGCCGAGGUGGAGGCCCUCAAACGGGGUGGGCGCCUGCGAGAUGGGCAGCUGGUCAGCCAGCGGGCGAUCCCGCCGCGCAGCAUCCGUGGGGACCAGAUUGCCUGGGUGGAAGGCCAUGAGCCAGGCUGCCGAAGCAUCGGAGCCCUCAUGGCCCAUGUGGAUGCCGUCAUCCGCCACUGCGCAGGGCGGCUGGGCAGCUACGUCAUCAACGGGCGCACCAAGGCCAUGGUGGCGUGUUACCCAGGCAACGGGCUCGGGUACGUAAGGCAUGUUGACAAUCCCCACGGCGACGGACGCUGCAUCACCUGUAUCUAUUACCUGAAUCAGAACUGGGACGUUAAGGUGCAUGGAGGCCUGCUGCAGAUCUUCCCUGAGGGCCGGCCGGUGGUAGCCAACAUCGAGCCACUCUUUGACCGGUUGCUCAUUUUCUGGUCUGACCGGCGGAACCCCCACGAGGUGAAGCCAGCGUAUGCCACCAGGUACGCCAUCACUGUCUGGUAUUUUGAUGCCAAGGAGCGGGCAGCAGCCAAAGACAAGUAUCAGCUAGCAUCAGGACAGAAAGGUGUCCAAGUACCUGUAUCACAGCCGCCUACGCCCACCUAGUGGCCGGGUCCCAGAGCCGCAUGGCAGACAGCUUGCCCUGACUUCAGGAGAGCCCUGCGCUCGUGCUGGCCGCUCCUUCCCUGCCACCGCUGCUGCUUCUGACUCUGCCUCUGUCCUGCCUGGCAUGGAAGGCUCUGUCUGUCGCUGAGGACCAAGGAGCAGAAGAGACCUCUGCUGCCCCAUGAUGGGGGCUGGGGUUGUGACCGGGAUCGGGGGCAGCCUUGGAGGCCACCGUUACCAACUGAGGCUGGGGGCCUGGGUCCUACCCUGUCUGGUCAUGACCCCAUUAGGUGUGGAGAGCUGGGAGGAGGCAUUGUCACUUCCCACCAGGAGGCAGGAUUUGGGGUUGCGGGAUAACUGCUUCAGUCGGCACAGUGCACGCCCUCCCGUUCUGGCUGAUCUCGGAAUACACGCUUAUGCACCCGGGCCCCGAACAGGAUCCCCAGAGUCGGUGGGCACCUUGGGCAGAAAGUGGUCUCGCAGGUAGGUGUCGCGAAUGAGGGCGCGCGGCGGCACCACGCUGAUGAAGCGCUGGAUCUCAAGCAGCACUGCAUUGGUGUAGGGCAGGUGCACGUGGUCAUCCAGGCUUGGGGUGCGCAGCCGCCUUGCCACGGUGUCCAGCUCCAGUGCACCUUGUGGGAGGCCAGGGGAGGUUGUGAGCUGCGCACUUCGGGACCCUCCAGCCAUUCCCAAACCAUAGCCUCCCAUUCUGGGUCUCUCCAGCUGAAAACCUGCUCCCUCUGGGUACUUAAGUAGAAUAAGGAGCCCAUAGUGCAGGGUGGCGCUCGUGGUCUCGGUGCUAACAAAAAAAAAAAAAAAAAAAAAAAAAAAAAAAGGUGUAAUUAUCAGCGUCUCCUCCUGGAUCCGGCUGUUGCUGUGGGCAGAGGAGACACACUGUUGCGUGCUAGGCACUUGGUGGGCAGCAUCGACAGUUUAGGGAGCUGGGAUCCACAUAUAUCUUAGCUAUCUGGUCAAGGAAGCAAUCGAUGAAAUCGCAAGUCUCCACUGGCUGCCACAUCUGCCGGUGUCGCUGGAUUUGCUGAGAGAUGAAGACCUGCAGCUCCGAAGUUUCCGGAGAUUUAGGUGGUGCGGCCAGGGAGCCAGUCCAUGAGAGACGGGAAAAAUCAUCUGGAGAGACGGUCUCAACAAGGGCCCUGGAAGAAGCCACUAGGCCUUAGUUUCCUUAGACUAGGAAGAUUGGACCAGGACUUUGAUACUGGAGCUUCUAGAACUCUUCCAUUCCAAGAAUCUCACUGUCCCACUCUAAUGAUCCACUGUAGGUAGGUCUGCAUACUCGCGGUUUGGCAUAAGGCUGGACUCAAAAGGGAGAGACUGUGGCCAGCCCUCUCACGUGGCCCCGUCUGGAAAGCGUGAUGUGGAAGGUGUCAUUGAAGAGGUUCAAGAGCGUCAGAAACUCGGGGUCCCCAUAACUAAUAGUGGUUCCUGAAGACAAGAACAGAUGACAUUGAAUACAGCAUUAUCCAGAGGCCCAUGGGGUCAAGCCGGGCUCCUGAGGGUGGGAACAGGACGGUGGUCCUAACGUGUGGUCCGGCCCCCAGCCAGCUCCGCGGGCUUACUGGCUUGCUUAAAGCCACACACCUUUCAGUGGCCCCAUCUUGGCAGUCCAAGGGCCACACCCACACCAGGCCCUUCUGCUCUCCCGGCCAGGCCGCACCAAUGGUGGCUUGAAGAAGACCAGCCGCCGCCUCCAGGACGUGCGCCUCGAUGCUCCGCACACCCAAUCCGAAGUCCAGCGCUCCAAGCGCAAAAUUGCGUAGUGUCCGCCAGCGCGUCCUGUUAGAAAACAAGAUUCCUGUCGGGGUGACAGGAAAAGAGGCGGGCCCAGGAGUUGGCCACGCCCCAUCCAGGAAGUGCCGGGUCACUAGCUACAUCCCUUUCUGGGCCUCCGACCCCUGUGGCCGCCUUCCUUCGCUUUGCUCCUUUACCAGACCGCUAAGUGCCCUGUCCACGCGCUGGCCCCUCUGCUGGUCUCGAUCCCUGACCUGUACCCAGAGGCUCUCGGGCUUUGAGUCUUGGGCUCUUCUCUCUUCUCGGCUGCGGAAUGAAGCUGGGUUCGAACCUGCUUUAGCGCCUUCCCGCCCUCUCUGGGCGGUGGGCACCUGGUAGGCUGGAGUCUCUGUCAGGCCCUGCCUCCAUUUUCCCACGUCUACCUUUAGGGGCCCAUCCUGGAGCAUCCCGGCCAGGACGUCCAGCGCCGGGGCCUCACCGUUAACGCGUGUGAAGGUUCGAAGACGGCCAUGGACCUGCGGCCGGAAAAGGCAUCGGCCGGUAGCACCAACGCGUCCCGCAGCGCUGCAGAGCCGCACACACAGCGCCACUGCAGAGCGCGGGCCCCAGCGGCCGGAGAGCACCAGGGGCCGGUACUCAGCAGGAUCAUAGAGGACAAGCCCUCAGCUGUCUUCAUUCAGGAGGUGUUCUAGUCCCCAGCCCUGCCUCCAAGAAUCCAGAAUUCUGUUCCCCCAUUUCUGUGGGGUUACCUCCAGGAGUGCCCGGUCCAGGCCUCCAGACUACAGCAGCAAGAUUCCCAGCAAUGGGAGCGGCCUGGACCGGGGAGGUAGGGACCCCUGCAUCUGAGCGCCGCACCCACCUACCCCCACCAUGCCAGCGCCAGCACCAGAAGCCACAACAGCAGCGCCGAGAUCCCCCGAUCAUCAUGCCCGCAGUUCUCCACGCCUGCACCCCUUCACCUCUAUGUGAUUUCCAAGGGGUCUUAGGGGUGGAGACCCGAAGUGGGAGGAGUGGACGUCUCCUGGCUGCUCAUGCUGUGUAUUCCCCAACCUGAGGUCUCCACCCUGUCCCCAGCCCUAGUGGAACUAUGCCCUGGCUCCCCUGGCUUCUGUGUGUAUGUGCCUGCCUCAGCCUGUCCUACUUAGCAACUUUGGGGCCCCAGCGUUUUCAUGUCAACACAACCGGCCAACAGGUGCACCAUCCUGAGCCCUGAGCACCUUUGAGUCCAACUUAACUUGGCCUGUAGGUGUGUUCCUGCGCCACCUGUGGGCCCCCUGAAUGCUAUACCCAGUACCUCUGUUCAUGAAUACACGCUGACCUUCAAAUGCUACUAUUAACCCUCGUCCUCCUUUCUCCUUAUUUAUUUCCUUAUUUUAUUUUUUUAAUAAAAAAAAUAUGGAACGCUU